GUAGGGAAUAAUGGGCAAUGGAUGCAAGUCUGACCCAGCCAUCCCGCGUGCCGGAAGAAGGCCCUCAGGGUUGUAAACGGCUUUUGACGGUGAAGAAUCGACAGGAUGCGUCCUGUUUUGACGUUAGCCGUUGAAUAAGCACCGGCUAACUCCGUGCCAGCAGCCGCGGUAAUACGGAGGGUGCGAGCGUUGUCCGGAUUUAUUGGGUUUAAAGGGUGCGUAGGCUGGAAGGUCAGUCAGCGGUGAAAAGCUGUCGCUUAACGAUAGUCUUGCCGCAGAUACUUCCUUUCUUGGAUGAGGAGGAGGCCACUGGAACGGAUGGUGUAGCGGUGAAAUGCAUAGAUAUCAUCCAGAACACCGAUUGCGAAGGCAGGUGGCUGUAACUUAAUCGACGCUGAUGCACGAAAGCAUGGGGAGCAAACAGGAUUAGAAACCCGUGUAGUCC
rnacentral:rRNA from 1 species